rnacentral:lncRNA from 13 species
AAACAGGAUCCCACUAUCUUGCCCAGGCUGGUUUUGAACACCUGACCUCAAGUGAUCUUCCCGCCUCAGCCUCCUAAAGUACUGGGGUUACAGGAGCGAACCACCAUGCCUGGUGAUAACUACUACUGAUGAGAAUGAGAGUGGAAGUGGAAAUUGAAUAGGUCCUUCAGAUUUCUUGGUGUCAUCCUCCCUGAAAGAUGCAGAGACAAAGUUUUGCCAUGCUGCCCAGCUGGUCUUGAACUCCUGGACUCAAGCAAUCCUCCUGACUUGGCUUGCCAUAGUGCUGGGACUACAGGUAUGCACUACCACACUGGGACAUUUUUUGUUUGUUUUGUAGAGACGGCAUCUCACCAGGUUGCCUAGGCUGGUCUCAAACUCCUGAACUCAAGUGAUCCACUUGCCUGGGCCUCCCAAAGUGCUGGGAUUACAGGCAGGAGCCAUCACACCUGUCCUAUUUUUCAUUCUUUGCCUAGUUUGAAAAAAGAUUUUGAAGGGACUUUUUAACAUUCUCAUAACACAAAAUAAGAACACAAUUAAUAGAAGGAGGCUAGAGACAGGAAAAUAUAUUUAGAUACCCUGUAUCGAUAAUGUGAAAGUCAUUCACUCUACAUCACAGAACAUUUUCUGGUAUUCUGAUUUUUAAAUGUUCCAUGUAAACAGGGCAACAUGAGGCAAUUUUCCUGAGAUCA